rnacentral:rRNA from 1 species
CCCUUAGAUGUUCUGGGCAGCACGCGCGCUACAAUGGUCUUCGCAAACGGAUGCAUUCUCGAAGGAGAAUGCCAAUCUUGGAAUCUAUGCCUUGGUCGGGACAGUUGCUUGCAAUUUUUCGACUCGAACCAGGAAUUCCUUGUAAUCGUGAUUCAUCACAUCACGAUGAAUACGUCCCUGCCCUUUGUACACACCGCCAGUCGCUCCUACCGAUCGAAGAGUUAGGUGAAUUGUUUUGAUCGAUAAGAUUUGACUAUGGUCAACUCUCGUUGUGAAAUUCUGUGAAUCUGACUGUUUAGAGGAAGGAAAAGUCGUAACA